rnacentral:lncRNA from 1 species
AUGUUCAGAAUGUGCAGGACACCCUGUCGUUGUAUGAACGAGCGUCCUGCACGGGUCAACUGGGCCAAAAGUGAAGCCUUGUGGGUAGGACAGGGGAGGGAUCAGGUGAUGCCUAGUCUGCCUGGGGGGCUUGAGUGGGGGCAGGAGGGGUUGAAAGUUUUAGGAGUGUUUUUGGGCUCAGAGGGUUUUCAAAAGAAGAAUUGGGCGGGAGUGAAGGAGAAAGUGUGUGCUCGGUUGUCUAAAUGGAAAUGGUUGCUACCCCAGCUGUCCUAUAGGGGAAGAGCUCUGGUGGUCAAUAACUUGGUUGCCUCGACCCUUUGGCACAAACUUAUUGCCCUGACGCCACCGAGAGGCCUGAUAGAGGAAGUUCAGAGAUCCAUCGUGGACUUUUUCUGGUCAGGUAAACACUGGAUCCGAGCAGCUGCCCUCUACCUGCCUGUGGCUGAAGGAGGACAGGGACUAAUAAACAUCCAGGCAAGGAUCGCAUCAUUUAGAUUACAGUCAGCACAAAAACUACUUUUCAACUGUGUCCCGAGGUGGUGCGACACAGCCCGACUGCUGCUGAGGAGAGCUGGACGUUUGGGCUAUGACAAGCACCUCUUCCUCCUACAACUUGGGGACGUGGACCUGACUGGGCUGACGCCGUUCUACUCGUCUGUGCUGGAGGCAUGGCAGAUUUUCCAGGUUACACGCAACGUCAACGAGACUCCGGGCCUGUGGGUGUUUGAAGAACCGUUGUUCUUCAGCAACUUCCUCAGGACCCGGACGCUGCAGUCUGCCAGCCUCCGAGCCAACCUCAGAGAAGCUGGAUGUACCAAACUAGGCCAUCUGAUGAGGAUGACGGCGGCGUCAGUCAACAGACUGAGGGAGACCAGCAACAUCACCUCUGCCAGGCUGGUCCACAGAGUGGUGGAGGAAGUCUGUGCUGCUCUGCCACCAACCUUGAGAGCACUGGCUGAAGACCGCACCCUGUGUGACCAGUGGAGUGAGGGGUGUGAGUACAGGUUCCCUUCCCUGUCCAUCACCCCGGCUGUGGGGGCGUGGCAGGAGGGAGGAAACCAGCUGCUGUCCUUCACAACCCCUCACCUGGUCACAUUUCAGGAGGCAGGGAAGAAGAACCUCUAUCAGGCCUGUGUAAAGACCUUGACUCUGAACUCUCUGGCAGGGAUAGAAGAGUCGAGGUGGACUGAGUUUUUCGGCCCAGACAUUUCCCCGAAAGGCAGCUGGCGGUCCCUGUACAAGCUGCCCGUUGAGAAGCGGACAGCAGACCUCCAGUGGAGGAUAGUGCAUGGGGCGAUAGCUACGAACAGAUACAGAGCACACCUUGAUCCGGAGCUAGGGGAGGGCUGUAUCUUCUGUUCACACUCUGAGACAUUGGUUCACCUGUUUGUUCAGUGUCCUCGUCUGUUGCCAAUGUUUGAUUUAUUGAAGGUGUGGUUCCAAGGGCUUGGGGAGGUUUUUUUCCUUUUCGUUAUUUAUUUUUGGCCCAAAAUACUGUGCCAAGAAAAAGACUGUGCACACUCUUUUAAACUUUUUAUCUGGUUCUGCAAAAUUGGCCAUAUGGCUGACACGAAGGAACCGCGCCCAGAACGUGGGCAGUGUGGAACCCAUGCCGGUUCUGAAAGGGUUACUGAAAGCCAGACUGCGGGUGGAACACACCUACUUUGUGAUGAUGGGUGA